GAAGUAGCCCUUUGAGGUAGGUAUUGGCAGCUAAUAGAUCUACUUCUACCAUUGAAAACCCUCUUUCCAUCGGAAGCUUUUCGGAGGCUUUCUUCCUUAUAAUCCAGCUUCAUCUUGAAAUUAUGGUGAACCCCUAUCCAUCUUUGAGGGCUUAUACCAUCGAAGAAGGGUUUCGAAGUCUUGGAGAAGAAAGAGCUAGCUUCAUCGGAGCUUUUCUCGAUUUGAGUGGCUUGUCGAGUCAACCACAUGUACACCUUAGGCCGACCGACCAGGUUUGUUUGGAUGUCUUCUUUUAGGGCUCUAGACCACGGAUUCCUCAUUUUUCUCUCAUCCUUCUUUGGACUUAGCUGAUCCAAGAGAGUAAGAACUAUCCUACGAGUUACACCAUCAAGAUUAAUUAAUUUUGUCGUUUAAACAGUUACAACAUUCACCUUAUUUCGACAUAUCUAUUUGCAUGAAAAUUUGUGCUUAUCUUUUUACAUUUGCCUUCUGAGCAUGUUAUAAUUGUCAAGUACAAUAUGUUACAUCUUACUUAAAACUUUUAGGUAGAUGUGUUCCAUUUUUGAGAAGGAUGGAUUAAGUUGACAUAACUUGAAGUUAUGUGCUAAUUACCUCUAGUUACCGAUUGUUGACAUUCUACUUAAAUCCUUAUGCUUUGGAAUUAAGAAUCCUGGCAUUAGAUAAUAUUUUCUUUGAACAUAAUUAGUUGGAUAACACAUUGUCAUCUUUGGAAUCCUCGCUACAAAAAUUUGAAAACCCUUAGUGCUAGUUUAUUUGAUACUUAAAUUACUUGUUUACUUCAUAUAUUCUGCUCUUAAAUUACUUGCUUACUUCAUAUAUACUGCUCUAUUAUGCUUGUGAGAUGCUUAUGUUGUGGAUUGCAGGAGUGUGGAUCAGAUGCGGAUUGUAGUUAUGUGAGAUGUAGAUUUGAGUUGAGAUGAUGCAGAAGUGGACUUUGCUUAUGUGGUGGAUCCGGACCGAGGGCUCGAGUGGUAGAUGCAAUAUUAGAUAUUGUGAUGUUGUGAUUUCCAUACUCUAGCCAAGUGUCGUGUAUAGUCUGUAUCGACUGAGAUUUAAGACCUAUACUCUGAAUGAGUGCCGGGUAUAACUGGUGAUAUUGAAUUUGGAUGCAUAAUAUUCCAGAUAA